UCCCUGAUGGUCCUGUGGCUAAGACGCUAUAUUCCCAAUGCAGGGGUUGGGGUUCGAUCCCUGGUCAGGGAA
rnacentral:tRNA from 1 species